UCGAGCGAUGAAGCUUCCUUCGGGAAGUGGAUUAGCGGCGGACGGGUGAGUAACACGUGGGUAACCUGCCUCAAAGUGGGGGAUAGCCUUCCGAAAGGAAGAUUAAUACCGCAUAAUAUAGGAGAAUCGCAUGAUUUUCUUAUCAAAGAUUUAUUGCUUUGAGAUGGACCCGCGGCGCAUUAGCUAGUUGGUAAGGUAACGGCUUACCAAGGCAACGAUGCGUAGCCGACCUGAGAGGGUGAUCGGCC
rnacentral:rRNA from 1 species